GGAUUAGAUACCCGGGUAGUCCACGCCGUAAACGAUGGAUACUAGCUGUUGGAGGUAUCGACCCCUUCAGUAGCGAAGCUAACGCGUUAAGUAUCCCGCCUGUGGAGUACGGCCGCAAGGCUAAAACAUAAAGGAAUUGACGGGGACCCGCACAAGCGGUGGAUCGUGUUCUUUAAUUCGAUGAUAAACGAAGAACCUUACCAGGGCUUGACAUCCAGGGAAGGUCUGCGAAAGCGGACUGUGCCUUUUGGAACCCUGUGACAGGUGCUGCAUGGCCGUCGUCAGCUCGUGUCGUGAGAUGUUUGGUUAAGUCCAUCAACGAGCGCAACCCUUGCAACUAGUUGGAUUUUUCUAGUUGGACUGCCCCGGUAACGGGGAGGAAGGAGGGGAUGAUGUCAGGUCAGUAUUGCCCUUACGUCCUGGGCUAGAAACACGAUACAAUGGCUAGUACAAUGCGCAGCGAAGCCGCGAGGUGGAGCAAAUCGCAUCAAAGCUAGUCCCAGUUCGGAUUGGAGGCUGAAACUCGCCUCCAUGAAGUCGGAAUCGCUAGUAAUCGCAAAUCAGCAAGUUGCGGUGAAUACGUUCCCGGGUCUUGUACACACCGCCCGUCAAACCAUGAAAGUGACCAACACCCGAAGUCCGAUUCGUCGGCCUAAGGUGGGGGGCAUGAUUGGGGUU
rnacentral:rRNA from 1 species